rnacentral:rRNA from 1 species
UACGUAGGUGGCAAGCGUUGUCCGGAUUCAUUGGGUUUAAAGGGUGCGUAGGCGGCCUUGUAAGUCAGUAGUGAAAUAUCACAGCUUAACUGUGAGGGUGCUAUUGAUACUGCAGGGCUUGAGUACAGACGAGGUAGGCGGAAUUGACAGUGUAGCGGUGAAAUGCAUAGAUAUUGUCAAGAACACCGAUAGUGUAGACAGCUUACUAGGCUGUAACUGACGCUGAGGCACGAAAGUGUGGGGAUCAAACAGG